AGAGGUGUUAGAGCCUUGGAAUCUGCCACUAGUCUUCCUAUCCAAGUUAUGAAUGCAUAGAAAUUGACUCAAGCUUCAUCAACAAUAGAUUAUCGCAUACAAGCCUAUGGUAUCUAGGUGCAGGAUGCAUCAUUCUCCUAAGGCAUGUGAUUGUGCAUGGUAUCUACACAGCACGUGAUCUCUAAUAUGCAACCUAAGCAUGGUAUCUACUUAGAAUAAAGCAUACAAGAGUCAUUAAGCUCCUUGAGAAUAUGAUAAUCACACAAGUCCUAGAACAUGGUAUCUGUCCUAGUCAACCUAUGGUUGUUAACCCCUUGAAUGAUUCUUAGGCCAUUCAUGUGUUGCUUGUGAAAGGAGAGUAGAAUUGGUGAAUCUAAACCCCUUCCCAACCUGUGCUAGAUGCAUAAAAUCCUAGUUAGCUACUCCAAGAAAACAUACAUCAAGCACAUAAUAAACUGGAGAUUAACAACUUGAUAAUAAAAGCAAGGAAAUCAAUUAACUAAAUCAUCCAUAACAUUGAAUAUUCAUGACUAGGGCUUCAUCCUAAGCCCUAACUAAAUGGAUUAGUUAGACAUAACUAUGAACACAGAAAAUAAGAAAUACAUAGAUAGGAUAAAGAGAGGAGAAGAACUAGAUGAUGGCAGCAAGGAAGUUCCCAGGACAGCUCCAAGCUCCCUUGACAGCUCCAAGCUCCCUUCUCUCUUUGUGGUGAAUCUGAAUGUGUGUAUGAGAGUAAUGGAUGAAGUGAAUGUGUGUGUCUGCCCUCCCUCUUUGAAUGAGUGUGCAACUCUCUAUUUAUAGAGUGCAAUUUCGUGCUCCCCUUUGGCUGGUGAAACACACCUCUCUUAGCUGCUCCCAAUUGCCUAAGCUGCCCAAUAAAUGCCAACUUUUCCAGCUGCCCAAUAAAUGCUUUGGUGGACUUUUCUUGGUUUCUUUAUGGAAAGCUUGACUUUUGUUCAUCUUUUUGACUCCCAUACUGAUUUGUCUCCCAUGUGUAGCCUACCAGAAUUCCUGGAAAAUGGUCCUUGAUUUGUGCAGACAAGAUCCCCAUAA
rnacentral:lncRNA from 1 species